rnacentral:rRNA from 1 species
AGUGAACGCUGGCGGUAGGCCUAACACAUGCAAGUCGAACGGCAGCACAGUAAGAGCUUGCUCUUACGGGUGGCGAGUGGCGGACGGGUGAGGAAUACAUCGGAAUCUACUUUUUCGUGGGGGAUAACGUAGGGAAACUUACGCUAAUACCGCAUACGACCUACGGGUGAAAGCAGGGGAUCUUCGGACCUUGCGCGAUUGAAUGAGCCGAUGUCGGAUUAGCUAGUUGGCGGGGUAAAGGCCCACCAAGGCGACGAUCCGUAGCUGGUCUGAGAGGAUGAUCAGCCACACUGGAACUGAGACACGGUCCAGACUCCUACGGGAGGCAGCAGUGGGGAAUAUUGGACAAUGGGCGAAAGCCUGAUCCAGCCAUACCGCGUGGGUGAAGAAGGCCUUCGGGUUGUAAAGCCCUUUUGUUGGGAAAGAAAAGCAGCAGGUUAAUACCCCGCUGUUCUGACGGUACCAAAAGAAUAAGCACCGGCUAACUUCGUG